rnacentral:lncRNA from 1 species
AGACAGGGUUUGGGUGGUAAGGGAGUUCCAGCAAAUUAAUAGGAGUCCGGGAAGUUUUUGGGGGCUGGGGUCCAGUUGAGGAAGCCACAGGUUCCAGACUGUCAAGAGCUGCGCAGAUGAAGCUGAUGGGGCCUGGACCAUUAGUUAAGAGUCCGCUCCCCUCACCUCCGUGGUUUGGUUCAGUUUAAUGACCCACCCAGAAUGACCUAUUGCUGUCCUCGUCGGGAUCCAUCCUCUCUUAGGUGUUGGCGACCCCCGGGCCUAUCUCAGCCAGUCUGAAUAGGAAGGGAACCACGAGCCUGCCGAGCUCCCCUGACCUAGCCCUCCGCCCCGCCUUUUGUGUUUUAACCUUUUGUUUCUAUCGGCCACACCCGCCCAAAAGAGCGGCGGCUUUUCGUCUCUGUUCAGCGGGGAAGCAGCGAGGUUCCCUCCAGAUAGCGGUGAAGGGCGGCUUCCUAACUUUGUUUCCCAAGUCCCCUAACUUCGGAAUGCUUCUGCAUUGGUUCUUGCUCAGUGUCAUACCAGCGACUCCAAGAGUCAUGUCACCCACUUAGCAGGAGUACUUCUACUGAAAUGCCUUCGAAUUUCUCUUACUGGAUAUAUACCUACCAGCCGCUAGCAUGAAGAUGCCAGGACCGCUGCAAGUUAGCACUGGACAAAGUAGCAUCAACUUCUUCAUUUAGAGUUUCUUCAGUUAAAUUGCUGGGAUUUUCGACAAGGCUUUCCUUAUGUGGAUUAUUGGAGUGUGAUGCCCGAGAAUUCUCUACUUGUAGAAGCACGCCCACGGGACUGCAGAAGCCUUCACACCCACCCAGCACGCUCAGAUCAUCCAGUAACCAACCCAGGAAGUUCUUGUAAGCAUGCAUUUCUUAGUCAACACUGAAUGCCUUUAGACCGAGGUCAACCUUUUCAGCUGGUACCGUGGUUUACACUGCUGGGUUGAUGGCCUAACACUGGCUUAACACUCAUGUCGGCUGCACUAAUUGAAGUCACAUCCAAGUGGGUCAAUGCACUGAACAUAUCUGAUAUAGAAGGUCCCAGAUCCUGAAUUUUUAUCAAUGGUUUGCUGUAUAAGGCUUGCCUCCCAAAUAGCUGAGGACCCUUAUUUGGGAAGAUACGUUCUGAUGGUUAAGCAACAGCACAGAUGUCGAUGGGAAUGAGUGAUGGCCAUCCAGUGACCAGCUGGAUCUGACUGCCUUACAAGACGCAUGUGUAUGAUUAAGAGAGAGACAUUCGUGACUCCCAGAUGUACCUCCUUCCUGUCCCACAGUGUUCCUGAAGGGAGUGAGUUAUGGGGUAACUUAUAACACAGCAGGCUCUUCCUCAAGAUAGCUCUUGUCAAAACAGGAAGACGAAACUCGGGUUUCCAUGAGGAGACCACAGCUUGGGAUCCUGUCUGGAUGUACAAGCAGAAGCAUCUUCAUACUUUUCCAUUUCUAACCAUCAUGCCUCACCCCACCCUCCCAAGGCGACAUCUGCAGAGAGGUGGAACCAUCUAGGGAGGCCUGCCACUGUUUGCUGAGCUCCGGGUGAGGAUGAAGACACUUUGACAUGGCCAGCUUCAGACUCGGGAUCUGUCGGUGUUAGCAGCCGAAGGAGAAUGAGGAGGAAGAGGAGGAGAAAGAGGAGGAGGAAGUAAGACAGAGGGGGACAAGAGGACCAAGAGGGCACAUGGCUGAGGAGGAGGAGAACAACAACAACAACAACAACAACAACAACAACAAGAAGCUUGGUGUUUUCAGGAUGUGUUCCUGAGUCUCGUGAGUAGCACAUGGCAGUUGUUGUCACCUUGGGCUGAGCCGUGAAGAUUCUCACCCUCCCUUGUUGGGGAUGAACUCCGGGAUUCUAAGGAGAGGUCAGCAGGUGUUUCACAGACUGUUCCUGUUGGAGGAUUUGUCUGAUACUCUUCUCCUGAUUAGUCUGGGCUCUACAUUUCCCCAAGGGUGAAACUUGGAAGCCCUCUCCAGGAUGCAGCAGGUAGCUGAGGAGAAAACGAAGACUGACCAGCCCAGAGCUCAGAGCUUCCUCCCAUGCUCAGGAUUUACCACCAAUGCCAUUACAUCGGCCUCUUCUUGUAUGCCUCUGGAAACCACAUGUGUCCUCUGUUUGUAAUGGUUUGGCUAUGGUUGCUGGCCCCUCUUGGACAUUGUUUUCAGAACUUAAAGAAACAUUGCUUUAAAGAUUUAUUAGAACAUAUUUAAAAUAAAACCAUCUUCUCAUUUAGUA